UUCUAUCAGAAUUGAUUCAAAGUGUUUCGUAAAACGAAUACGGCACACGGCAAAUGGAAAAUAAAGAGAGAAACGAAGUGACUGGCGGUAAACGUGCAGAGUUUAAAACAAUAAUUGUAUUACAGUGUUAUUUACCAAUACGUAUGUACAACCGAACAAUAGCGGUUUAUAUUCGUCGAAUCGUGAUUAAAAAAAAGGAAUCUGUAGCAUUUUUAAUUUUCAAACAUUAAUAGUUGAUAUUGUAUGCUUCGUCAACUGGCCGCCGUAAUAGUUCUUGAAACUAGUUUCGUGGUAUUAUAUGCGUACAAAAUUAAUAAAAUAAACGUGUUAGAUAUCUUGAUAAUUAAUAAAGUACGAACAAGCAACAUGAUACAUGACUAGUUAGCGAAGCAUUACUGUUUAUGAGAUAUCCUAUUAUACUAGUAAUUCAAGUGUGACGAUGAAUUAGUAUUACAGCUUUCUAUGACAGGAAAAAUUUAGCCGGCGAGAAAGUACUGAUCGAUCGUGUCGUUUGACAAGAGGAUCCUUUUUUUU